rnacentral:tRNA from 1 species
GCCCACAUAGCUCAGUCGGUAGAGCACGUCCUUGGUAAGGACGAGGUCACCGGUUCGAUCCCGGUUGUGGGCUCCA